CCUACGGGAGGCAGCAGUGGGGAAUAUUGGACAAUGGGCGAAAGCCUGAUCCAGCAAUGCCGCGUGAGUGAUGAAGGCCUUCGGGUCGUAAAGCUCUUUUACCAGGGAUGAUAAUGACAGUACCUGGAGAAUAAGCUCCGGCUAACUCCGUGCCAGCAGCCGCGGUAAUACGGAGGGAGCUAGCGUUGUUCGGAAUUACUGGGCGUAAAGAGUACGUAGGCGGUUAUUCAAGUCAGAGGUGAAAGCCCGGGGCUCGACCCCGGAACUGCCUUUGAAACUAGAUAACUAGAGUCUUGGAGAGGUUAGUGGAAUUCCGAGUGUAGAGGUGAAAUUCGUAGAUAUUCGGAAGAACACCAGUGGCGAAGGCGACUAACUGGACAAGUACUGACGCUGAGGUACGAAAGCGUGGGGAGCAAACAGGAUUAGAUACCCUGGUAGUCCACGCCGUAAACGAUGAUAACUAGUUGUUCGGUCACUUGGUGUACGUGAGUAGACGCGAGACUACGACAUUAAGUUAUUCCGUCCGUCGGGUAGGUACGGUCGUCGAGAAGUUAAACGUUAAACGUAAAGUUAGUACGGACGUGAGUAACGUGUCGACGACGACGACGAGGGAGGUUAGG
rnacentral:rRNA from 1 species